rnacentral:lncRNA from 1 species
UAGUGGUGAUGGAGACAUAUAGACUUGUAAGACCCUUGGGUGGGCGAACGCCCUUGAGCACCUCCACUUGAACUUCUGGUGAGCAAGUCUGUAAGGAACCACCCCAGGACAGUUCUAGUCAUAUUAGUCUUUUCUUAUCAGCUAGCUUUGCAUCGUCUGCUUCCUUCUUGUUUUUGACAUAUUCAAGAUGAUGAAUUUUCAGAUUACCUUGCAGCUUGUUUAGGCUCCCCAACUGUUUUAGCUCAUGCCCAUGUUUUGUCCUUACUUGAGAUACAUCAAGUUCUUGUAGUAAUGUUAAACUACCGAUGUUCGGAACUUGCAUUGCAAAGCUAUAAAUAUGACGCUUACUGCUAGUUUUCUACAUGUAGUGCUAGUUCUGUACAUGCAGUUUAGUGCUUGUCAUACUUAGAUUUUUCCUAUGAAGUGAUGAUUUUUUUUGCUACCACGUAAAGUUGUGAAGGUGGUUGGUCAUGAAAAAUUUUCAUUUGCCAUAAAAACUAUGGGUAUAGGGCAUUGGAUGGCAAUCAUUUAUUUUUUCUUGCCUUUUUUUAAUUAUGUUCAUGUUACAUUUAAUUGCAUCCUAUACUUGGUAAUAAGAAAAGUCAUGAGCUGUAGUUUACCUUUUGGUUUGAAAGCUUGUACAUAUCACAGUUUUGCCUUUCACCGUUGUUCAUUAAAAUCUCCUAUAUUUUUCUAUUGUAUAGGUGAAUGGAACAUUCCAAGCCCAAGGGAAUGCACUCCAUUAACAGAAUCUUCCCAUGAUGGAAGACCAUCCUCAUGCUACUCAUGUGCAUGAGCAUAGUUCUACUCCAACAUUUAGAAAUUCCAG